UGAAACUAAAAGAUGAUUAUAUAAAAGUUCUCGAAAUAAGAAGAUCUAACUUAAAAGUUUGUUUUAGAAAAGUCAAAUUUAAUAGUGUAGUAAAACUAUAUUUUAAAAUUAAGUUAGGGGUGAAAGGCCAUUCAAUUCUUAUAGAUAACUAGAUUAAAGUAAAAUAUAUUAAGUAUAAUUACUUCAUAUGUUGAGUGCUAAGAUUUCACAUAAAGAAUAAUGUUAUAGUAGUUUCGCAUUUAGUCUCUUAAUAGAACAUAAAGACUCACGAAUUUAAUAAUAUUUUAUAAAUUUAUUUUCUUUAUUAGCUUUAUAUUAGGUUAAUUAAUAAUUUUUAUAAUAAAUAAUGUUUCAAUGAGUAUUAAGAAACUAAGAACUAAAAAGGAACUCGGCAAAUAUCUUUUUCAACUGUUUAUCAAAAACAUAGCUAAUUGUAAUUAUAGUUAGUUAAUUCUGCCCAGUGUAAACAUUAACGGCCGCAGUACACUGACUGUGCUAAGGUAGCAUAAUCAAUUGGCUUUUAAUUGAAGUCGGGAAUGAACGAAUCUAUGGAAAAUAGCUGUCUUUUUAGUUUUCCUCAGAACUUACUAAGAAAGUGCAAAUUCUUUCAUUUUUCUCUAAAAGACGAGAAGACCCUAUAAAUUUAUAUUAAUAUUUAAUUUUUUUAUUAAAUUCAUUUUUGUUGGGGCAACAGAUUAACAUAAAACAAUUUAAUUAAUUUAUUAUUUUUUAUCGAGUUAUUACUAGUUAUAAAAAAAUUACUAUAGGGAUAACAGCAUAAUUUUAUUAAUAAGAUUGUGACCUCGAUGUUGGAUUAGGGUCUAAUUAAAUCAGUAAUUUAAUUGGCGGGUUCUGUUCGAACUGUUUUUCCCU
rnacentral:rRNA from 1 species